CAUCCCUAGAGCCCAACCUUGCUAUGGAAAGGUCAAACCCUUACCAUUGGCCCUGCCAAGGAUCCCCAGACAGAGAAGCACAAUGGAGGCCAUAAAUUAUGGCUUCUUAUCAUGGCCUCCACAUAACUUAAACUCUGGAUGGUGAAUGAAAUCCGGGGCCAAGUCUUAAAGGGUCAGGGUAGCCAAUGAGCAUAACUCAAUAUUUGUGUUUCUAAGAGAAAACCACAGAACCUCCAUAUCCAUGGCAAACUGGCCAGCCACAGGCUGGAUCCAGUGUGCAGUAGUGUUUUGUGUACACCAUUCACUAUUUGUCUACUUGGGUUAAAAAUGUUUUAUAUUAGUUAGCAAUGUUUAAACAUUGGGAGAAUUAAAGGGAAAUGAAAACGUACUUCCCACAAAUACUUGCACAUAAAUAUUCACAGCAGCAUUGUUUAUAAUUGCCCAAAACUAGGAACAACCCAAACAUCCAUCAACUGAUGAAUGAUAAACAAGUUGUGCUAUAUUCAUCCAAUAAAACAAUAUUCAGCAAUAAAAAUAAACAAAUCAGGCACUUAAUAUAAUUGAAUAUCAAGGUCAUUAUGUUGAGUGAAAGAGGCCAGAAAAUAAAAGUAUACACUGUUUGAUUCCAUUUAUAUAAUAUUCU
rnacentral:lncRNA from 1 species